GUCCCUUAGGGGACAUCCGAUAAAAUUGGAACGAUACAGAGAAGAUUAGCAUGGCCCCUGCGCAAGGAUGACACGUACAAAUCGAGAAAAUUCAAUUACUUAU
rnacentral:snRNA from 1 species